AACGCAUAUUGCACUCUCUGGUAUUCCGGGGAGUAUGCCUGUUUCAGUAUCAUUAUUCGUAUCCAUUCUCCGAUGGGUGUUGGACUUUUGCCUUUUUCAGAGGAAGGCUGGUCCUAAAAAAGUAAUCGGCAAUCGAGGAGAGAAUUGUCAAAGCGUGAUAGUUGAUCUUUUUUGAAGGUUGUCUUUCGCUUUAUUUCUCUUUUCUUUGCAAAAGUCAAUAUCUAUCUAUAUCUAAAGUAUGGGUAGAUAUAUAUUUUCAUCUUGGUCUGAAAUCAGGUAGGGUUACCCGCUGAACUUAA
rnacentral:misc_RNA from 1 species